rfam:Nicotiana attenuata strain TT chromosome 2, whole genome shotgun sequence.
UGAUGCAAUCAUACCAGAACUAAUGCACCGGAUCCCAUUAGAACUCCGAAGUUAAGCGUGCUUGGGCGAGAGUAGUACUAGGAUGGGCGACCCUCUUCCCCACUCGUGGGAAUAUACUGGAUACUCUCGA